GGGGCUGUAGCGCAGCUGGGAGCGCGUCUCAAUGGCAUUGAGAAGGUCAGGGGUUCGAGUCCCCUCAGCUCCACCA
rnacentral:tRNA from 2 species